rnacentral:rRNA from 1 species
CUACGGGAGGCAGCAGUGGGGAAUUUUGGACAAUGGGCGCAAGCCUGAUCCAGCAAUGCCGCGUGUGUGAAGAAGGCCUUCGGGUUGUAAAGCACUUUUGUCCGGAAAGAAAGUAAACCUGGCUAAUAUCCGGGGUGGAUGAC